rnacentral:rRNA from 1 species
GACGAACGCUGGCGGCGCGCUUAACACAUGCAAGUCGAACGAUGAAGCUGGAGCUUGCUCCGGUGGAUUAGUGGCGAACGGGUGAGUAACACGUGAGCAAUCUGCCCUUGACUCUGGGAUAACUGCGGGAAACUGUAGCUAAUACCGGAUACGAGGCUCGAAGGCAUCUUCGGGUCUGGAAAGAAUUUCGGUCAAGGAUGAGCUCGCGGCCUAUCGGCUUGUUGGUGAGGUAAUGGCUCACCACGGCGACGACGGGUAGCCGGCCUGAGAGGGUGACCGGCGACACUGGGACUCAGACACGGCCCAGACUCCUACGGGAGGCAGCAGUGGGGGAUAUUGCACGAUGGGCGAAAGCCUGAUGCAGCAACGCAGCGUGAAGGAUGAAGGCCUUCGGGUUGUAAACCUCUUUUAGAAGGGAAGAAGCGAAAGUUACGGUACCUGCAGAAAAGGCACCGGCUAACUACCUGCCAGCCGCCGCCGUAA